rnacentral:rRNA from 1 species
CCUACGGGAGGCAGCAGUGAGGAAUAUUGGUCAAUGGGCGCGAGCCUGAACCAGCCAAGUAGCGUGAAGGAUGACUGCCCUACGGGUUGUAAACUUCUUUUAUAAAGGAAUAAAGUGAGGCACGUGUGCCUUUUUGUAUGUACUUUAUGAAUAAGGAUCGGCUAACUCCGUGCCAGCAGCCGCGGUAAUACGGAGGAUCCGAGCGUUAUCCGGAUUUAUUGGGUUUAAAGGGUGUGUAGGCGGUAUUUUAAGUUAGUGGUAAAACGUCGGGGCUUCACCUUGAUUGGCCAUUAAAACUGGAGUACUAGAGUACAGACGAGGUAGGCGGAAUAAGUUAAGUAGCGGUGAAAUGCUUAGAUAUCACGAAGAACCCCGAUUGCGAAGGCAGCUUACUAAACUGUGACUGACAUUGAUGCUCGAAAGUGUGGGUAUCAAACAGGAUUAGAUACCCUUGUAGUC